GUACUGUGCAAACGUUAUUCGGAAUCACUGGCUUAAAGGGUGCGUAGGCGGCGGGAUAAGUAGGGUGUGAAAGUCCCCGGCCCAACCGGGGAAUUGCGCUCUAAACUGUUCCGCUUGAGUGAGAUAGGGGUGCGUGGAACUUCCAGUGGAGCGGUGAAACGUGUUGAUAUUGGAAGGAACGCCGGUAGCGAAAGCGGCGCACUGGGUCUCAACUGACGCUGAGGCACGAAAGCCAGGGGAGCGAACGGGAUUAGAUACCCCGGGUAGUCCUGGCUGUAAACGAUGAGCACUAGUCGGGAGGGGCUUCGGCCCAUCCCGGACGCAGCGAAAGCAUUAAGUGCUCCGCCUGGGGAGUAUGGUCGCAAGGCUG
rnacentral:rRNA from 1 species